UAGGUAGAAGGACAAAGCACGUUCCUG
rnacentral:piRNA from 1 species